rnacentral:rRNA from 2 species
UACGUAGGGUCCGAGCGUUGUCCGGAAUUACUGGGCGUAAAGAGCUCGUAGGUGGUUUGUCGCGUUGUUCGUGAAAACUCACAGCUUAACUGUGGGCGUGCGGGCGAUACGGGCAGACUUGAGUACUGCAGGGGAGACUGGAAUUCCUGGUGUAGCGGUGGAAUGCGCAGAUAUCAGGAGGAACACCGGUGGCGAAGGCGGGUCUCUGGGCAGUAACUGACGCUGAGGAGCGAAAGCGUGGGGAGCGAACAGG